rnacentral:lncRNA from 1 species
CCUGUCAUAUAGAAUCACAAGUUGCAUUCCAAAUUCAUGAAACAAGCAGUUGCAUAAACUUGCGUUUAAUCCCAGUUACAUACAGAGGCUAAUCAAGUCACUCGAUUCAUUCCAAAUUCAUAUACAGAGGCUACUCGAGAUUUAUUGUCGUUCGGUCAAUCCAUCCAUGUCAUAUAGAAUUAGAAGUCGCAUCACAAAUUUGUGAAACAAGCAUUACAUCCGGCUAAUCCCAGUUACAUGUCGUUACUCUAGGUUCUGUAGCAGAAACAAGGGGUUGCAUCACAAAUCAGUGAUUAUAAAAUCGAUCUGGGCAUCACUUUUCUUCUUUGCAAGUACCACCUUCGACCGCAAGCUUCUGUUGGAGCUCUUCAGUGAUGAGCGCCGAUUUUUGCUUGUUUUGGUCACCUAUAUAGCAAAUGAUUCAAUCAGUUACACAUCCAUCACUUGGGUAACAAACGCUUUUACCACUUGGCUAAAACUAGUAAUGAUAGCAAGCAAGUAUUCGUGAAUAUAUAGAUCAAAAGUAUAGCAGAUUUAGCUGUACAAACGGAACAAACAACUCUGUCAGAUUGAGACUCAUGAUCUAGUUCAUUUACAAUAUUCUUCGAAAAAUUGCAAGUGCUAAGUGCAAUGUCUGAACUGGUAGUGCCAUUUGAUUAUUCAAGAGGAACAUCACUUUGCUACACGAAAAUUGUAAAUGACAGAGAAAAAUAAGUAAUGGAAAACAUGAAUGGAACUAUGCUACAACAAAACUAAUGAAGCAAAAACAAAGACUACUAAUGAGCUAGUUCACUUAGAUCGAGACAUUUUUAGCUAGUUACUUACAUGCAGAUGUACUCUUGAGAAUAAAUACACAUGGCAGCUUUAAUAAAAAUACACAGAACAACUUGUAUUGGAUUCAACACCAUAAGUGUGUGUUAUCCUAAGUGCCUGUUAGUUACUAUUCAUUCAUUGUUAUCAAGAGUUUAGUUGCAACUGAAAUUUAUGUAUUUCUAACUAUCGGUUCUGAAUCACAUUGUAGGUCUGUUAUUGGAUUUCGUACUGGAUAACAUGGAACAAAGGAUCAGCUCAUUGUGUACAUGGUGGCUCCAGUUGACAAUCUAAUCUUAACACUGAUCUUUUUUUUUACUGUGAACUAGUAGUGCUAAAAUAGUAUCUCAGUGGAUUUUCUGUUUGUAAAUCUGCACAACAACGAACUCAUUCGUGUGUCAUUUGCACCUGAGAUCAUGAUAUUUAAAUUAUCAUUGGUAUCUUUGUAAUGGUGCUAUCCUUAAGAUCUCUAAUUUUUCAAGCAACCUGUUACACUCGAUAUCAAGGAAAUGUGAACGUACCGGUCUCUUCAUCAUCAGAUAGGUAUAUUACAUUAGCAGAAGCCUCCAUGUCAUGGGGAUCACUGGGCAGCCCAAGACCUGUUAGCCAUUCAUUCAGUGAUGCUGAAUCAGAAUCUGACUCCGCCGAGCCUGAUGCUGAAGGCCCAACACCUUUACUUGGCAACACAUUCAACGCAGCUGAUGAAACGCUAGAUGUCGUUGUCAAACCUUGCUGUGAUGUUAGUGGAAGAACUGGAUUUGGAAUCCAAGGUACUGGCGACAGCAGGUGUGUUGGGUGUGAACUUGAUGGCAGUGCUGGAACCUGCCGAAUUUGAUGUGAACUUGAUGGCCCCAAGAGUGCCGGUAUAGUGGGGUGUGAACUUGGGUGCAAGCUUGACAGUGAUGGGUUCCCUGGGGGAGCAGCCUGUGGGCAUGAUUGUCUUAUAUUUAUUGGAGUCACAGGGAUAGACCAUGUCCUUGCGGACAUGCUCUCCAGCCUAGUUGGAAGCUGCUGCUGAUUUGCAGAUACCAUUGAAUGCACCUGUGGAGGCAACCUGCGCUGAAGAUGAGGAGCAGGUGCACGUGCUAGUUCACUGUGGACUCCAAAGCUUCCCCGUGGCAGAACUGGCGCGGGACUAAAUCUAGUUGAUGUUGAUCUGGCAAUGUUGCUUAGUAUGGAGGGAUGUGGUCUGACCACUUGUGAAGAUGGCGAUGAUGAUGGUGAUGGUCGAUCGACCUGAAAUAGUUGGACAUGAUGUAUCGGCACUGGAGGUCGACCAGCUGACGACGACGCAGUUGGUGAUGCAGUCGAUGCCACCGCUGAAGACCUCGUGGGAACUUGCUGAGAAGCCUGGGGUGUCUGGUGAUUUGGAGGGCUGUGGGCUCUAA